GAUGAACGCUGGCGGCGCGCCUAACACAUGCAAGUCGAACGGCACCCACCUCCGGGUGGAAGCGAGUGGCGAACGGCUGAGUAACACGUGGAGAACCUGCCCCCUCCCCCGGGAUAGCCGCCCGAAAGGACGGGUAAUACCGGAUACCCCGGGGUGCCGCAUGGCACCCCGGCUAAAGCCCCGACGGGAGGGGAUGGCUCCGCGGCCCAUCAGGUAGACGGCGGGGUGACGGCCCACCGUGCCGACAACGGGUAGCCGGGUUGAGAGACCGACCGGCCAGAUUGGGACUGAGACACGGCCCAGACUCCUACGGGAGGCAGCAGUGGGGAAUCUUGCGCAAUGGGGGGAACCCUGACGCAGCGACGCCGCGUGCGGGACGGAGGCCUUCGGGUCGUAAACCGCUUUCAGCAGGGAAGAGUCAAGACUGUACCUGCAGAAGAAGCCCCGGCUAACUACGUGC
rnacentral:rRNA from 1 species